CACCGUCGCUGCGUCACCGUCACUGUCACCAUCACUGUGUCACCACCACUGUCACUGCCACUGUGUCACUGUCACUGUGUCACCAUCA
rnacentral:lncRNA from 1 species